rnacentral:lncRNA from 1 species
UUUUUUUUUGGUGCUGAGAAUUGGACCCAGGGCCUGGCACAUGCUAGGCAAGUUUUCUACCACUGAGCUACAACUCCAACCCUUACUACUUUUUUUUAAAAGAGUUUGGGUAAUUUGUUAAGUUGCCACUUAGUAGCACUUCAUACUAUUUUAGCUAUUGUAGCAUUCUCCACGUAAAACCCCGGUAGUUAAUUAAAAGUCAUAUUUUAGAUUAAUUUGUAAAUAACUUCUUGUCUACCCUUGAGAGCAUAAACUCUGAAUAGUAUUAGACACCAACAACCAUAUCUUCCUUAAAAAGGCAAAAUUUUUAGUGUGAAAAAGGAGCCUUAAUGGAAAUGAUUUCCAACUGAAUGAAGCCCAGAGUAAAACAGGUCAUUUUAAGAAGCAAAUAACACCUCACCUUGUGCACUGGAGUCUUCUGGAGACCAUGUUGGUAAUGGUGUUAGCUGGUGUUCACUAAUGACUGGUUUACUAAUUGUCUUUGUACACUACUAUCUUAACACAACUGAAGGAUGGCAUUUGGUUAGUGUUAGCCAAGAAUAUGGUGCUAAUUUGCUGAACUUGAACCCCUCAUCCACUAAGAGAGUCACUGGAGGCUUUUCUCCACUAGGAAGUGCUCCUCUCUUUUUGCCUGCAGCUCUCAGUGCUGGAGGGGGACACCUCCCCAUCCUGUCUGGCUGGGUCUGCACACCUCAGUGCCCUCAGCUUUAGGAUAGAAGUUCUGACAAGGGUGUCAUGCCGCUACCUGGGCUAAGUCAGACCACCUGCUUCACCAACAGGUUCACGUCUAAUGGACUUUGGGCUUAGCCUCUGUUUCUUGUAUUUGAAAUUCAGUGAAAUUAAUUGACCUAAACUGAGGGGUGUCUGUAAAUCUCUGCUCUUGUUUCUGCUCACUGGUGAAGCUUUGUUUUGGUUGUGGUACCAGAUGGAGUCCAGGGCCUCAUGCAUGCUGAGCAGGAGCUCUAACACUGAGCUGUACCCUAGCUUUCACUUGUGUUUGAUAAUCUCUGGGUGGACUUUUUCCACAGUUAUAUGUGCUGGUUUUGAACACUGUGUUCCUAUGUAACAUGGGAUGGAUUUCCUUGUGUGCAUUUUUUUUUCACAAGUGGUACAGACAAAAUGGAUGGUCUUGUGUCAUGAGGCUCAGAUUCUAAUACUUACAAAAAACCUGUUGGAUUCAAGACAAGAGAGGGCGAUGGAACAUUAAUGCUCAUGUUCCAUCACCCCUUAUAUGAGACAUAUGUAAAAACUUAAACUGAGCAAUUUUUAGGUGUCCUAUACAGUUUUAUAGGUUUUCACAGGUGUCCUAGACAGAGGGUGGGACAUGAUGGGUCAGUCACAAGACCACCUGAGUAGUGUUGAUAAAAAAAAAAUGGCUAGCACGCACGGUGGCAGUGAACACAGAGCAUGUGCUGUUAGGGAACGGGCUGGUCUCAGGAGAGCACAGGCUCUUAGAUACACACACAGCAGUGGCGGGGUGUCAAGGUGGCUAGGCCUUGCACCUCUGUCUGUGGGUGUGUUUGGAGUUAAAAGCAGCACAAAAGAAGGUAGGAGAUAUGGAG